UGGCUCAGGACGAACGCUGGCGGCGUGCCUAAUACAUGCAAGUCGAACGAACUCUGGUAUUGAUUGGUGCUUGCAUCAUGAUUUACAUUUGAGUGAGUGGCGAACUGGUGAGUAACACGUGGGAAACCUGCCCAGAAGCGGGGGAUAACACCUGGAAACAGAUGCUAAUACCGCAUAACAACUUGGACCGCAUGGUCCGAGUUUGAAAGAUGGCUUCGGCUAUCACUUUUGGAUGGUCCCGCGGCGUAUUAGCUAGAUGGUGGGGUAACGGCUCACCAUGGCAAUGAUACGUAGCCGACCUGAGAGGGUAAUCGGCCACAUUGGGACUGAGACACGGCCCAAACUCCUACGGGAGGCAGCAGUAGGGAAUCUUCCACAAUGGACGAAAGUCUGAUGGAGCAACGCCGCGUGAGUGAAGAAAGGUUUCGGCUCGUAAAACUCUGUUGUUAAAGAAGAACAUAUCUGAGAGUAACUGUUCAGGUAUUGACGGUAUUUAACCAGAAAGCCACGGCUAACUACGUGCCAGCAGCCGCGGUAAUACGUAGGUGGCAAGCGUUGUCCGGAUUUAUUGGGCGUAAAGCGAGCGCAGGCGGUUUUUUAAGUCUGAUGUGAAAGCCUUCGGCUCAACCGAAGAAGUGCAUCGGAAACUGGGAAACUUGAGUGCAGAAGAGGACAGUGGAACUCCAUGUGUAGCGGUGAAAUGCGUAGAUAUAUGGAAGAACACCAGUGGCGAAGGCGGCUGUCUGGUCUGUAACUGACGCUGAGGCUCGAAAGUAUGGGUAGCAAACAGGAUUAGAUACCCUGGUAGUCCAUACCGUAAACGAUGAAUGCUAAGUGUUGGAGGGUUUCCGCCCUUCAGUGCUGCAGCUAACGCAUUAAGCAUUCCGCCUGGGGAGUACGGCCGCAAGGCUGAAACUCAAAGGAAUUGACGGGGGCCCGCACAAGCGGUGGAGCAUGUGGUUUAAUUCGAAGCUACGCGAAGAACCUUACCAGGUCUUGACAUACUAUGCAAAUCUAAGAGAUUAGACGUUCCCUUCGGGGACAUGGAUACAGGUGGUGCAUGGUUGUCGUCAGCUCGUGUCGUGAGAUGUUGGGUUAAGUCCCGCAACGAGCGCAACCCUUAUUAUCAGUUGCCAGCAUUAAGUUGGGCACUCUGGUGAGACUGCCGGUGACAAACCGGAGGAAGGUGGGGAUGACGUCAAAUCAUCAUGCCCCUUAUGACCUGGGCUACACACGUGCUACAAUGGAUGGUACAACGAGUUGCGAACUCGCGAGAGUAAGCUAAUCUCUUAAAGCCAUUCUCAGUUCGGAUUGUAGGCUGCAACUCGCCUACAUGAAGUCGGAAUCGCUAGUAAUCGCGGAUCAGCAUGCCGCGGUGAAUACGUUCCCGGGCCUUGUACACACCGCCCGUCACACCAUGAGAGUUUGUAACACCCAAAGUCGGUGGGGUAACCUUUUAGGAACCAGCCGCCUAAGGUGGGACAGAUGAU
rnacentral:rRNA from 1 species